GCACGAUCUCAGCUGACUGCAACCUCCACCUCCUGGGGUCAAGUGAUUCUCCUGCCUCAGCCUCCUGAAUAGGUGGGACUACAGGCAUGCACCACCACACCUGGCUAAUUUUUUUUUUUUUUUUUUUUUAGAGAUGGGGUCUUGCCCAGGCUGGUCUCGAACUCCUGAGCUCAAGUGAUCCGCCCACCUCAGCCUCCCAAAGUACUGGGAUUACAGGUGUGAGCCACCUCAUCCAGCUUUUGUUUAAUAUUUAAUUCUUGGGACCCAGCACAGUGACCAGCACAUAGUAGGUGCUCAGCUACUCAACCCUUUUGGAGAAGGUGGCAACAUCGUUGGCACUGUCAUCUUAGACAAAAGAGAGUGGGACUGGCAGAAGAUCAGCUAUCUCAAAAUUGGAAAGCAGGUCACUAGUUCCUAUCCACUGUGAUUCGUCUGGCAUUCUUCAGUCCUCUGUACUGUGGCUUCUCCUUUCCCCCAUGAUUUUCAUUAAACAUCUACACAAAAAUUAUUUAAUAUGUGCAAAAUGUAUAAAUAACUAAUCCUGCCCUUCACCAUAUCCAUGAUCCUGCAUUUUGUGUGUUUCCUUUCUUUGUUUUCCUCUAUGGUUUCACUACAUGUGAAUCCCUAGUGAUAGAUUUAUUUUUGCUUGUUUCUUAACUAACAGAAAUGGGAUCACACUGUAUGUAUUCUCCCGAAACUUGCUUUAUUCUCUCAACAUUAAGUUCAUAAAUUUCACCUAUUUGUUUUUUGUCUUAAUCUUUGUAACCAGUCUGUAAAACCAAAUGACUAUCCUCUCUGUUCUGGCACAAUGUGCUGUGCAUAUCAGGUGACCAGUAAACACUGUAGGAUGAU
rnacentral:lncRNA from 10 species